ensembl:lncRNA
CGGAUCCCCGGCCCGAGGGAUCACAACAGAUUUUUCACGACCUGCCCAACUUGUACCAAAAGGACGAGGAACCCACCGGGUUUACGCGCGCACUUGGAGAUCCGGCUCCGGCGUCCGAGUAGGUGCAGGUCGCUGCAGCCUCUCGUCUUCCAGCUUUCUGUGCUCUGCCUCGGCCGUGAGCAUCCUGAGAGGAACCAAGUUCUCUACCUGUUUAACUCUCCCCUCGUUCUCCUCCUUCCUUUUGCAGCUGGUAAAACCUGGAGAAAGUGAGACUCUGCGAGGUCCUCACCGCGUAACUGGGCAUGCCCAGUGUGCAGUGCCGGUCUGGGGAGAAAGGAGUUAACUCCAGGGGAGCUUGCAGAUUAGGUGGCAAAGUCUGAGUCUGUGGCUAUAAAUGAUGGCUUGAGUCCUGUGGACAUUUACAUUCUUGUUCUUGUUAUAUUUCUACCCCGGGUUAGUUUUGGAGAAGAAACAGCAGAUAUUUUUAUUUCAACAUCACAAACCCAAUAGCCUCAGCCUCAGAUGCCAUAAGGACAAACCAAAGACUCCUGACUCUCCCAAAGCAAAUCCAAAAGCAAUGAUAGAGAGGAAAGCAAAC